ACCGGGGAUGAACAACUUUUGUCACGUGACCGCAAAAGUCAACGCCGGUUGCAGAAACAGAUUGUAAUCUUGUACAUUAAGAAACAUGACGCUCGUGUGUGAAAUCUGUGGAAAGACAUUUAAAUCGAAGUGGGGGUUAAAGCUUCAUGAUAAGCGCCACAGAGGGACUGGACGAUUCGCCUGUUGUGGAAAAACAUUUUACACAAAACAGGCGUUCAACAGACACAGAUGCAGCAUUCAUGGUGUUGAAAAGCCGUUCCCCUGUGAACAAUGCGGCAAAAAGUUUUCAACCAAAGAUGACCUGAAUCGUCACGUCCGGAGGGAGGUUGCUGCAAAGCAAUUUACCUGCUCAAUUUGCAAUGCAACGCUCCGGGAGAAAAUUGACCUUCAGGCCCACCUUGCCACCCACAAUGGAGAGAAAAACUUUGCUUGUGAUAUGUGUGAAAAGAGGUACAGGCACCGCAGUAGUCUAUCAAAGCACAGAUCUGCAAAGCACCGGGCCUAGUCAUCUGUUGCAUGACGAUGAUAAGACCAAGAAUUAUUUUUAAUUCUUACCAAUGUGCCGUGGUUAUUUUCUUAAUUAUUGAAAAUACAGACUGUCAUACAAUAAUAUAUAGUAUUACGCGUGUUUUUGCGUCUUAAACAUUGUGUUUCAUAUCGUUUAUCUUGUGUUGUUUUGUUUGAUAUUCCUGUUUUUAAUAAGAUUAUUGUUGUAAUAUUUAUCAUUCUAAUUUAAAAUGAUUAUGAUAAUGGUUGAUCUCAUACAAAUUAUUGUGUUCAUUAUUGCUCAUCUGUGAUUACUGUUGAUCUCAGCCCAUGAAUUGUGAUUUAUAUUGAUUAUCUGUGAUUAUUGUUGAUCUUAUCAAAAUAAUUGUAAUUUAUGUUGAUUAUCUUUGAAUUUUUUAUCUUAACCUAUUAAUAGUGAUUUAUAUUAUCUGUGAUUAUUGUUGAUCUUAUCAAAAUCAUUGUGAUUUAUGUUGAUUAUCUGUGAUUAUUGUUGAUCUCAACCGAUUAAUUGUGAUUUAUAUAACCAGUGAUUAUUGUUGAUCUUAUCAAAAUCAUUGUAAUUUAUGUUGAUUAUCUGUGAUUAUUGUUGAUCUUUUCGAAAUCAUUGUAAUUUAUGUUGAUUAUCUGUGAUUAUUGUUGAUCUUUUCGAAAUCAUUGUAAUUUAUGUUGAUUAUCUGUGAUUAUUGUUGAUCUUUUCAAAAUCAUUGUAAUUUAUGUUGAUUAUCUGUGAUUAUUGUUGAUCUCACCAUAUCCGCUGGAAUAUACAUUUGAGCCGCGCUCUGUGAAAAGGGGGUUUAAUGCAUGUGCGUAAAGUGCAGUCCACAUAGGCUAAUCAGGGACGGCACUUUCCGCUUUUAUGAUAUGUUUUGUUAAAAGAAAGUCUCUUCUGAGCAAAAAUCGAGUUUAUCGGAAAGGUUUGUCCCUAAUUAGCCUGUACGGAAUGCACAGGCUAAUAUGUGACGACACCUUACGCACAUGCAUUAAACCCCCUUUUCACAGAGCGAGACUCAUUUGUAAUCUGCGAUUUUUGUUUAUCUAUUUCGAAUCAAUAUGAUUAAAAUAUAUUUUUGGUGAGUUAGCUUUUUGUCUCAUUGGAAUCAUUGUGCGAAUUGUCAACAAUUACAUGUAAAUCUGUAAUUCCUUCUCAAGUUGCACAUAGGCCAGUUUAAUGUUUUGCGUAUAAGCUAUUAUUGCGAUACGGGAUAUUCUUUGCAGCAAUAAAACAAUUAAUCUGCA